rnacentral:tRNA from 1 species
GGUAAAAUGGCUGAAAAUAAGGCGAUAAAUUGUAAAUUUAUAUAUAAAGUAUGAACUUUUUUUACUA